GGUCCCCCCCCCCACCCGCGUCUUCAACGCCAAAGUGUAAAGGGAGCGAGAACUCAACAUGUCUUUUGAACUCUCCUAUCAAACAUUAAAAACUGCUAAUCAAGCGAGAGAAGCGGAAGAAAUUCGAACAGAAGCUCGCCGUAAGAAUCUCUUGAUUCUCAUUCUGCACCACCUAACUGAAGAAGGUUAUAUAGAUACAGCAAAUACUUUGGAACAAGAAACCAAUCUCGGAUUGCGAAAAUUUGAAGUUUGUGAUAAUAUUGAUCUGGAAACGAUCUUAAUGGAAUAUGAAAGCUACUAUUAUGUCAAGUUUCAACGGUUUCCAAAAUUAACUAAAAAAUCAGCUGAUGAUGAAAAUGCAAAAUUACAGCCCCGAAAUGGAGGGAAAAUAAAAAGGACUAUAAGCAGUAAUUCUAAGAUGCUCCCUAAAAUCUCCACAACACAGCGCCCAAAUUCCAAAAUCGGAAUGAAAAAGGCUGAGUUGAAACCUCAAAAACAGGAGAAUGGAUCAUCUGCUCCCGAAACCUCAGAAUUUGGUUUGAAUGUGUCCACUAUUAAAGUUGGAGAUGGGCUUCAUCACAGACGGGGCCAGAUCAUUGACUUGCGUGGCAUGAUUCAGGAUGCAGUUAAAGAUUCGACUCAUGAAAUAGCAGUAAAUAGUUUGAAUUACAACCAAGAUCCAUCAGAGAGAUUAAUAAAGCCACUGGGUGCUUUCAUAGGAGCAACUGGUGAAAUGAGAGAUCUUGCUGUUGUUAUUAGCAGGGAUAUCUAUCUCCAUAAUCCAAAUGUGCGAUGGGAUGACAUAAUUGGGCUGGAGCCAGCCAAACGACUAGUUAAAGAGGCUGUUGUAUACCCUAUUAAGUAUCCUCAGCUCUUUACUGGGAUUCUAUCGCCGUGGAAAGGACUGUUACUUUAUGGACCGCCAGGUACCGGGAAAACAUUGCUUGCAAAGGCUGUGGCUACUGAAUGUAAUACAACCUUCUUCAACAUUUCAGCCUCUACCAUUGUCAGCAAAUGGAGAGGGGAUUCUGAGAAACUUGUCCGGGUGUUGUUUGAACUUGCUCGGUUUCAUGCUCCCUCUACCAUUUUUCUGGAUGAAUUGGAGUCGGUGAUGAGUCAGCGUGGUAGCGUCCCUGGUGGCGAACAUGAAGGAAGUCGGCGGAUGAAGACCGAACUCCUGGUCCAAAUGGAUGGCUUGGCUCGUUCUGAUGAUCUUGUCUUUGUUCUGGCAGCAUCUAAUAUGCCCUGGGAAUUGGACCACGCAAUGUUACGGCGAUUGGAGAAACGAAUUUUAGUAGAUCUUCCUUCCAAAGAAGCACGGCAGGCAAUGAUUUUGCACUGGCUGCCUCCUGUGAGUAACAGUGGUGGUGUAGAGCUUCGGACUGCACUGGAUUAUAGUGUACUAGGCCAAGAAACUGAAGGCUAUUCUGGUUCUGAUCUCAAGUUAGUUUGUAAAGAGUCAGCUAUGCGACCUGUAAGAAAAAUCUUUGAUGCGUUAGAAAAUCAUCAAACAGGAAAAGGCAGCCUGCCCAUUUUUCAUCUGGAAACAAUCUCUACAAACGAUGUUCUCGAUGUGAUAAUUCAUACCAAGCCAUCCGCUAAAGGUCUUGGUCAGAAAUACACUGCCUGGCAGCAUGAAUAUGAGUCCGUAUGAACUGAAGGGUGCAAGGAACAAUUACCUACACUUGUCCAUUGUCCCUUUCAUACUAACGCUGGGCUUGUUAUGAGCACCUUCUGCUGCACUUUCAAAGUAAACUUUUCUCUUUCAAUGUUUCAUUGAAUGUUUACAAGGCUCUACCAUGCUGCAAAGUCCAAAGGGGAACACUUUCUGAAUGAUCCACCAGUGAGAACUAAAACUGAGAUCUAAAGUUGCAGUUCAGACAACAGUCAGAAAAGAACAAUUCCCAUAAGUACAAUUCGGUGACUUAAGAGUGUGUUGAUACAAUCUUCACUGUGAAGGAUUUUAUAAAAUACAGACACACCCAACUGCAAGAGAAUCACUUAAAAAACAAGUCUUUCCUGAAGAGCAGCCAACCAUCAACAUUCUUAUGUCACUACGACAAUAGGCCACUAGGAGCUGAUUUGAGAAAACUUAACAUAGUUUGGAUUUACCUGGAAUUAAGGUUUGUUGAUUCUUUGAUUCAUUCACCAACCACUGUUGAUACUUGACAUACCAAAACUAAGUUGUGUCUUGCAAGGUUGAGGAUUUUGUUUGAUGUCAUUGUUCUAAAACCUGACCAUAAUUUCUAAAAUUUAAAUUACUCUCUUAAAUGUUUGGAUUUUUAAAUGCUCUGUAAAAUUAUAGUUCUGUCUGUAAAUCAUCAGAGAAUUGUACAGAUAAAUACUUUGCUGCCGUUAAAGUUUGAAUCCAACAUUAUUUUUGAAAACAUGAAACAUCUGUGGUUACCUGUUCUUUUUUUGAAAUAGUUAGUUAUAUGGUGACCACUCGUAGCUUUAGUAAGCCACUAGGCCAACAAAUGACAGGGCCGUCAUCCUUUAAAAUGUUGCUGGUUGUAAAGGGCUUGCUGGAAUGUGAGCAGCUGAGGACAAGGAAAUGCCAACACUACUAAUUUACAUACAGUAGCACAGGCAUAUCUUCAUCACAAGGACUGCAGUGGUUCACAUCCAGUUAAAGGUUGCAAUGCAGGGUCGAAGGGCCAAAUGGCCUCCUCCUGCAACCUAUUUUCUACGUUUUCCAAAGAAGUACCAGGAUACCUCUGGCUUUUGAAGUGGUGAAAUGGCUUUUACCUCAGCCAGAGAGGACAGACCCCGCGGGCCAUGUUGAAGUUCACUACAGUUCACCCUCAGUACUGAAGUGAGAUUUUUUGUGCUCUAGGGUGGAAUUUAAAUCCUGACAUUCUGAAUAAAAGUUAGGAGAGGUACCAGCUGAGACAAAACUUCAUUUGCUGUGGAAUAUAGAUUCUAUCAGGGAGGAUGAAGCAAAGUGAAAUAAAUGCAGUAUAGCAUAUUUCUAAUUAACAUAAAAGAAAAUUCAUGUGGAAACUCCCCAUGUUAUAAGAUUGAUCAGAAACAAAGUUGCAGGAUCUUGAGCUAGAAAGGCUAAAAAAUAAAUAAUUUUCCUCAUACAGCACAGGGACAGCACAGUGGGACAGUGGUAGAGUUGUUUAAGAAGGAAAUGCAGAUGCUGGAAAAAUCAAAGGUAGAUAAAGAUGCUGGCGAAACUCAGUGGGUGAGGCAGCAUCUAUGGAGCGAAGGAAGAAGUCUGAAGAAGGGUCUCGACCCGAAACGUCACUUUUUCCUUCGCUCCAUAGAUGCUGCCUCAGCCGUUGAGUUUCUCCAGCAUUUUUAUCUACCCAUGAUAUUGUAGUAGCUGUACAGCUAAGUGAAAUAAUCAAAGACAAAAUUAAGUGUCACACAUGAUGUGUGUGCUGUAUUAACAAAUAGUAACAUUUAAUUUGGUUUAGUUUAUUGCCACGUGUACCGAGGUACAGUGAAAAGCUUUAACAUAUGAAAGAUAGUGAAAAUCGAUCUCCACUAUUAUCUACUCAAGGACAACUGUAUAAAAGCAACAGUUCCUUGGUCACCUCUUUUGCUGCCAAAUUCUGUAUUGUGUAAAAAAUAAAGGAAGAGGAAAACAACCAUAAGCAUUUCAUAUGGUUAGUUAGAAACAAAG